ensembl:misc_RNA Metazoa_SRP Metazoan signal recognition particle RNA
GCCUGGCGUGGUGGAGCGUGCCUGUAGUCCCAGCUACUCGGGAGGCUGAGGCAGAAGAAUCGCUUGAACCCAGGAGGCGGAGGUUGCAGUGAGCCGAGAUCAUGCCACUGCAUUCCAGCCUGGGUGACAGAGUGAGAUUCUGUCUCAA